UGAAGCAGUUUGGAGAGGCACUUGAUAUUUGUAAAAUUGUACUUCAAUCCAGUUUUUAUUUUGGUUCCAAAACUUGAUAAUUUGUCCACCUGGGAGUCCUGUUCCCUCAAACAAGGUUUACAAAACAUCUUGGGACCAUGAUGACAGAUUUUUCUCUCUGGAUUAACUAUAACAUCCAGCCUACAUUUACUUCAAUUUGGCAGAAGUAAAAUCUCAGGAGACAUCUAUCAACAAUCCUAUUUUAAAUUAAAGCCCUUCUGUUUCAACGCCUCCAAACAGCUUGGGCAGCCACAGCUUUUGAAUAGCUAUGUGCAGGAUGUUUUGACACCUACUGCACACAUGGGUUCUUGCUGCACGGUGAAGAGCUGAUCUAAGUAUUUACUUACAUUUGCACACUUCCUCCAAAGUUCUGGGGGUGGGUAGUCAUAAAUUAAAAUAAAGUUGAAGAAAAA